GUGGUAGAAGCAGAUUUAUAAGGUCACGCAAUAGAGGUAUAAUGACAAUAACCAUUCAAAUUUACAGGGUUAAGGAGAGAUUUUGUGGGUGCAUUUAAAGGGGACACUUCAGAAAAAAAUACUUGCAUGGUAAUAGUGUAAUAGAGUUCUUUACACUAUAGACCGGUGGUAGGCAACCUUCCGCACUUUAGGUGUUGUUGACUACAUCUCCAAUCAUGCUCUUACAGUCUUAAUACUGGCAAAGCAUCAGUAGAGAUGUAGUUUACAACAUCUGGAGUGCUGAAAUUUGCCUAGCCCUGCUAUAGACCCACAAUUUCCUACAUUUUCCAUCAUAAUCCACUAAAAUAUCCACUAUACCUGACAUACCAGCAUUAUGAUGAAAAACCUGUCCCAUUUCGCAGAACAUUACUUUUUCACAUCUCAUGGAAUCUUCAUAAUAUUUUACCCUUAAAUUAAUUUCUACAUAAGAACAACCAAGAAUCUAGCAUAUUCUACGAUUGAGGUGUCCAAAGAAUUGGGUUGUGGAACAACUCCGAUUGUACAGUUGAGUAAAGUGAGUAACUGUGCAGCAACCUCUCUAUUCUAAGUGCUGACACAAGACUAGUAUUUAUAUGUGAUAGUAACAGUUAGUAGAAUGUUAUGUUUAUACUGAAGCCAGAAUACUGUAUUACUGGGCCCAUGGAAUAAUAUGUUAACAAGAUGUGAGCCGGGAGUCACACAUGCAAUAAGUGCCCUCCAAGACAUUUUCAGGGUGCUCAGGGGACUCCACCAGCUAAAUGAGGCCUUCUAAAACUUUCACUUGCAGGGAUGUGGUGAUGCAUUGCUUUGUAGUGCUUUGUAGUGCCUUGUCAGCUCCUCUGGCUGUAGAAUGUUUAAUAAAAUGUAAUGAAAUAGAAUCAGGGAAGAAACAUACUUAAAUAGCCAUAUACACACGAUUGAUAGUCAUUGAUUAACAUUUCACCACCUUCUGUGCCAUCUGGUUAUUAUUAGAUCACAGCAGUACAGUGCCAUUCAGCACAGAAGACAUUUAUGAUGCACUUUUACAUCCCUAUAUUACUUGCCUAUACAUUUCUGCAAUAUAAAUAAAAUUAUUAUGCAAAAUGGCUGCCACUGUUGUGUGUUCAUUUAAUAAACUAUAACAUAAAAAAAGAAUAACAUAAAAAUAGAAGGCAUGUAAGAGUAUAUUUCUCCCACCUUGUGCACUUUCUAUUCAUAAUUUACAAUAGUCUUUCAUGUCCUAAUUGACAGUCAUUGAUGGUUCUGAAGUUGAAUUGAAG